AAAAAAAGAAAAAAGAAAAAAAAAAAAGAAAAUACAUAUUGUCAAGGACAAGAAACAGGCUGGUUUGCAAAGUCUGAAAAAGGGGCUUCCGUGGGACCUUGGGCAAGGUUCUGGUCCUUCUCUCUGUGCUGAGGGACUGGACUCGGCCAAUGAGGACUCCGGGUCCACGGGUGAAACUGUGCCACAUCUUCACACCUCUGGCCUCAGUUUCCACAUCUGUGCAAUGUGGUGGCUCCAGGAGGCACUGCCUGCCUCAUGGGUUAUGACUGAGAGGCCUGUGGGGAUGAUGUCACAGGUCCCUAAGAGGGAAGUGUCACCCCGAUGGCCCCAAAUGUCUUACUUGCAGGUGACCUUUGGUGACAGUGAGUGCCUGCUGUGGGGCUGGGCCCCCUCCCACCUCUUUCUCACUCCCUUCUAGUGACAGAGCUGAGUGACAGAGCAAGACUCCAUCUCAAAAAAAAA
rnacentral:lncRNA from 1 species